AGUGACUUCAUUUUGUCUAAGACAAAAGUAUAUGGCCCAUGGAAAUCAAGAGAGAGGUUGGUCCACAGAGAGAGGUGGUCCACAGAGAGAGGUGGUCUACAGAGAGAGGUGGUCUACAGAGAGAGGUGGUCUACAGAGAGAGGUGGUCCACAGAGAGAGGUGGUCUACAGAGAGAGGUGGUCCACAGAGAGAGGUGGUCCACAGAGAGAGGUGGUCCACAGAGAGAGGUGGUCCACAGAGAGAGGUGGUCCACAGAGAGAGGUGGUCCACAGAGAGAGGUGGUCCACAGAGAGAGGUGGUCUACAGAGAGAGGUGGUCCACAGAGAGAGGUGGUCUACAGAGAGAG